ensembl:snRNA U4 U4 spliceosomal RNA
AGCUUUGCACAGGGACGGUAUCAUAACCAGUGAGGUUUAUUCAAGGUGUGAUUAUUGCUACUUAAAAUAUUCCCAAGUUCUCAACAUGAAAUGUGAAAUAUGGUUGAAAUUUGAGAUUUUUGACAGCUGCUACAGAGACAG